rnacentral:rRNA from 1 species
CAGUAGCCGCGGUAAUACAGAGGAUGCAAGCGUUAUCCGGAAUGAUUGGGCGUAAAGCGUCUGUAGGUGGCUUUUCAAGUCCGCCGUCAAAUCCCAGGGCUCAACCCUGGACAGGCGGUGGAAACUACCAAGCUAGAGUACGGUAGGGGCAGAGGGAAUUUCCGGUGGAGCGGUGAAAUGCGUUGGGAUCGGAAAGAACACCAACGGCGAAAGCACUCUGCUGGGCCGACACUGACACUGAGAGACGAAAGCUAGGGGAGCAAAUGGGAUUAGAUACCCGGGUAGUCCCUGUCUCUUAUAC